AUUAAAAAGAUAAAAAUCCUUGUGAGAUAAGGACUAGACUUUUUUAGAUUGAUUGGAUCUUGAUUUGAAAUCAAGAAAAGGUCUAUAUAAAAGAUGGUCUCCUAGGGUUUUAUAAUUAAUUUUGAAGGAAUUAAAAUUUAGAUCUCUUUCUCUCUCCAUCUCUAUGUCACACCUUCCUCCUCUCUUUCCAAUGCCCAAGGAUUGGGCAUCUCAUCAUUCCACAUGUUUGAGUUGCAGGC
rnacentral:lncRNA from 1 species